UUCAGCGGUGCCUCAAAAGAACCCCCCUUUCUCUCAACCCCCAGAUCUGGAUCUAGACUUGGUAAAUUAAGAUUCCAUGGAAAUAUUUUGCCAUCUGUGUGGAGACACUGUUGGGACUUUAGGUGUUAGGAUGUGGUUUUGGAAUUUUCUGUGUUGUCUUUAAUUCUCAGCAGACAUUAAAAAAAAACAGCUUGGUCUCGGCCAGCAAGUGAGCAAAGGUUAUCCCUGCUACCACAGCACCUGCAAAAGCACAAGUGGAACUCACAUAUUUUGCUUUCCAUGUUCUAAAAUGGAUUCUGAGCCGUCCAGAGAAAUCAGCACAUAGAAGGAGGGGAACCUGAGAACGGAGGUGUACAUAUUAAAAAUUACACAGAUGGAAAUAUUUUCAUCAAAUUGGCACAAAUCGGUCAAGAGGAUAAUCAUGUAUCAUGAACUCAUCAACAUGGUCAUCUAAUAGGCUUAAGCUGUAUUGGCUUCUAUAUUUGAACACUGGGAGAAACAACCCCUCAUUUUUCAUGUUCUUGUAAAGAGCAGCAAAAUGUGUACAAAGAUCCUACCCCUCAGUGAGCCCUUAAUAAACCACAAGCAAGAGAGAAA